rnacentral:rRNA from 1 species
UACAGAGGGUGCUAGCGUUGUUCGGAAUCAUUGGGCGUAAAGGGCGUGUAGGCGGUUUGUUAAGUCAUGUGUGAAAUCCCUCGGCUCAACCGGGGAACGACGCAUGAAACUGGCAAGCUAGAGUACCAAAGAGGGGGGUGGAAUUCCCGGUGUAGCGGUGAAAUGCGUAGAGAUCAUGAGGAAGACCAGUGGCGAAGGCGGGUCUCUGGACAGUUCCUGACACUGAGACACGAAGGCCAGGGGAGCAAACGGG